rnacentral:tRNA from 1 species
GCCCAGGUGGCGAAAUUGGUAGACGCACUACUUUGAGGUGGUAGCGCCCGAAAGGGUGUGCUGGUUCGAGUCCAGUCCUGGGCA